GGAGAGGUGGCCGAGCGGUUUAAGGCGUACGCCUGGAGAGCGUAUGGCGGCCGAAAGGCUGCUCGAGAGUUCGAAUCUCUCCCUCUCCG
rnacentral:tRNA from 1 species